CCUACGGGAGGCAGCAGUGAGGAAUAUUGGUCAAUGGGCUUACGCCUGAACCAGCCAAGUCGCGUGAGGGAAGACUGCCCUAUGGGUUGUAAACCUCUUUUGUCAGGGAGCAACGCCGGCUACGUGUAGCCGGACUGAGAGUACCUGAAGAAAAAGCAUCGGCUAACUCCGUGCCAGCAGCCGCGGUAAUACGGAGGAUGCGAGCGUUAUCCGGAUUUAUUGGGUUUAAAGGGUGCGUAGGCGGAAUGCCAAGUCAGCGGUAAAAUCGCGGGGCAAAACCUCGCUCCGCCGUUGAAACUGGCGGUCUUGAGUGGGCGAGAGGUAUGCGGAAUGCGUGGUGUAGCGGUGAAAUGCAUAGAUAUCACGCAGAACUCCGAUUGCGAAGGCAGCAUACCGGCGCCCAACUGACGCUGAGGCACGAAAGCGUGGGUAUCGAACAGGAUUAGAUACCCCAGUAGUC
rnacentral:rRNA from 1 species